GAAAUUCAAAUUCAAAUUUUAAAUGCAUCAGAAAUGACAAUCAUAUUGGUAUAUCUUGUGAUUGAGGCUCGUAUGAAUCAAAUAUGCUAUCAUGCCCUCUUAAGCUAAACGAGUGAGCAUGAAUGUUGAGCUUAACUUGCAAACAAUAUAGGCAGCUAGGAUGUAGACUUUUGUGAAGAUGUCAACCAUUUGAUCAAUUAUAGAAAUAAAUUGGACGUCCAGUUCUUUAUAGAAAAAACUUUUCAUAGAUAAAGUGAUAAUCUAGCUUAAUAUACUUAGUACGAAAAUGAAAAAUUGGAUUAAAGAUGAUGG
rnacentral:lncRNA from 1 species